GAUGUCGCCUGGAAGUGGAUGUCACCACAUGGAGGAUGUCACCUGGUGGUGGAUGUCACCCCGUGGUGGAUGUCACCCUAUGGAGGAUGUCACCCUAUGGAGGAUGUCACCCUAAGGAGGAUGUCACCUGGAGGAGGAUGUCACCCUAUGGACGUGGAUGUCACCCUAUGGAGGAUGUCACCUGGUGGUGGAUGUCACCACAUGGAGGAUGUCACCCUAAAGAGGAUGUCAACCUACAGAGGAUGUCACCCUAUGGAGGUGUAUGUCACCCUAAGGAGGAUGUCACCCUAUGGAGGAUGUCACCUGGAGGAGGAUGUCACCUUAUGGAGGAUGUCACCCCAUGGUGGAUGUCACCUGGAGGCAGAUGUCACCCCACGGUGGAUGUCACCCCAUGGACGAUGUCACCUGGAGGUGGAUGUCACCCCAUGGAGGAUGUCAGUUGCUGGCUCAAUGUCACCUGGAGGAGAACGUCACCCCAUGGCUCAUUGGAUGUCACCCCAUUGGAUGUCACCCCAAUGGAUGUCACCUCACUGGAUGUCACCCCACAGCUUAAUGGAUGUCACCCCAUUGGAUGUCACCCCACUGGGUGUCACCCCACUGUGUGUCACCCUGUGGGAUGUCACCCUACAGCUCAAUGGGUGUCACCCCAUUGGAUGUCACCCCACAGAUGCCACCCUGUGGCUCAAUGGAUGUCACCCCAUUGAAUGUCACCCCAUUGGAUGUCACCCCAUUGGAUGUCACCCUAAUGGGUGUCACCCCACUGGAUGUCACCCCAUUGGAUGUCACCCUACAGCUCAUUGGAUGUCACCCCACUGAAUGUCACCCCACAGCUCAAUGGCUGUCACCCCAUUGGAUGUCACCCCACGGCUCAUUGGAUGUCACCCCACUGGAUGUCACCCCAUUGGAUGUCACCCCAUUAGAUGUCACCUCACUGGAUGUCACCCCAUUGGAUGUCACCCCAUUGGAUGUCACCUGCUGUGACCUCAGGGCACGCGUGGCCUUUGCUUUGUACCCGUCUGGGAUUAAUUACCCUUUGGAAAAGUGAUUAAAAAUGCUAAUUGACAUCUCUGCGAACCCCGAGUGGCGUUUUGGGGUCCCCAAACCCCAUUCCUAUGCAGUACCGCUGAGUGGAUCCAUAACGCGCAUGCUGAUUGGCUACUUGCAGAACACGCCUUCGCUCUCGACCAAUCCCUGCGCGCCUUUCACAACCGCGGGGGCGGGCCUAUCCGUCUGACCCCGCCCCGCUUGGGGGCGUGUAGCCAAUCAGGGCGGCCGUAGCAUUUUGACGUCUCAGCUCCGCCAAUGGCGUUGUGAGAAACAUAACGAGGAAGGUUCCCGUCCCUCCCUGGUGGUCUAGUGGUUAGGAUUCGGCGCUCUCACCGCCGCGGCCCGGGUUCGAUUCCCGGUCAGGGAAGAUUUGUUUUCUCGCUUUUCUCCCCAUUUUGACCCAUUUCUUCCUAUUUUUUUUUUAUCCUUUGGGCCGUUUUCUUCUUCCUUUUUACCCUUUCCUCCUCUUUUCCUCCCUCUUUUCUCCCCAUUUUGACCCUUCCCCAUUUCCCCCUUUGUUUCCUCCUUUUCAUUUUUCCUCCUCCUUUCCAUUUCCCCCUUUUUUCCUCCUCCUUUUGCAUUUUUUCCCUUUUUUCUCCUAUUUUUUCAGUUUUCCUCCUGUUUUUCCCCUUUUUUCCUCCUCAUUUCACUCUUUUCCUCCUUUUUCUGUAUUCUUUUCCCCCUUUUCCUCCUAUUUUGCCCCAUUUCCCCCAUUUUUUCCUCCCCCUUUUUCCUCCCUCCCCUUCCCCAUUUUGCCCAUUUCUCCCAU
rnacentral:tRNA from 1 species